rnacentral:rRNA from 1 species
GAUGAACGCUGGCGGCGUGCCUAAUACAUGCAAGUCGAGCGAACGGACGAGAAGCUUGCUUCUCUGAUGUUAGCGGCGGACGGGUAAGUAACACGUGGAUAACCUACCUAUAAGACUGGGAUAACUUCGGGAAACCGGAGCUAAUACCGGAUAAUAUUUUGAACCGCAUGGUUCAAAAGUGAAAGACGGUCUUGCUGUCACUUAUAGAUGGAUCCGCGCUGCAUUAGCUAGUUGGUAAGGUAACGGCUUACCAAGGCAACGAUGCAUAGCCGACCUGAGAGGGUGAUCGGCCACACUGGAACUGAGACACGGUCCAGACUCCUACGGGAGGCAGCAGUAGGGAAUCUUCCGCAAUGGGCGAAAGCCUGACGGAGCAACGCCGCGUGAGUGAUGAAGGUCUUCGGAUCGUAAAACUCUGUUAUUAGGGAAGAACAUAUGUGUAAGUAACUGUGCACAUCUUGACGGUACCUAAUCAGAAAGCCACGGCUAACUACGUGCCAGCAGCCGCGGUAAUACGUAGGUGGCAAGCGUUAUCCGGAAUUAUUGGGCGUAAAGCGCGCGUAGGCGGUUUUUUAAGUCUGAUGUGAAAGCCCACGGCUCAACCGUGGAGGGUCAUUGGAAACUGGAAAACUUGAGUGCAGAAGAGGAAAGUGGAAUUCCAUGUGUAGCGGUGAAAUGCGCAGAGAUAUGGAGGAACACCAGUGGCGAAGGCGACUUUCUGGUCUGUAACUGACGCUGAUGUGCGAAAGCGUGGGGAUCAAACAGGAUUAGAUACCCUGGUAGUCCACGCCGUAAACGAUGAGUGCUAAGUGUUAGGGGGUUUCCGCCCCUUAGUGCUGCAGCUAACGCAUUAAGCACUCCGCCUGGGGAGUACGACCGCAAGGUUGAAACUCAAAGGAAUUGACGGGGACCCGCACAAGCGGUGGAGCAUGUGGUUUAAUUCGAAGCAACGCGAAGAACCUUACCAAAUCUUGACAUCCUUUGACAACUCUAGAGAUAGAGCUUUCCCCUUCGGGGGACAAAGUGACAGGUGGUGCAUGGUUGUCGUCAGCUCGUGUCGUGAGAUGUUGGGUUAAGUCCCGCAACGAGCGCAACCCUUAAGCUUAGUUGCCAUCAUUAAGUUGGGCACUCUAAGUUGACUGCCGGUGACAAACCGGAGGAAGGUGGGGAUGACGUCAAAUCAUCAUGCCCCUUAUGAUUUGGGCUACACACGUGCUACAAUGGACAAUACAAAGGGCAGCGAAACCGCGAGGUCAAGCAAAUCCCAUAAAGUUGUUCUCAGUUCGGAUUGUAGUCUGCAACUCGACUACAUGAAGCUGGAAUCGCUAGUAAUCGUAGAUCAGCAUGCUACGGUGAAUACGUUCCCGGGUCU